GAGGAUGUCCACCCCACACCACACCGACCCCAAUCGACCCUCACCCCAACAACUCUCUCUGUCUCUCCUCUCAUCCACAGCCGCCGCCGCACUCUUCCGCCCGGCGAUCCCACCGGCCGACGCCCUCCACCCUCAUCCCCUCCACCUUCCCCCACCUUCUAUCCAUCUAUAUGCCCCUAGACUAGAUCGAGCAGGCGGGCGCCGUCAGAUCGGGAUCGGUCAUGCCCACGGCGGGGCAUCUGGAUCCACGGAGGGGAGAGGAGGACGGCAGUGGCGGCGGCGGCGGCGAUGCGGGCGGUGCUGGCACGGCCGGGGAGCGCGGCGGAGCAGUCCAGGCGGGCGGCGGAGGCGGUGCGGGUGGUGGCGAUCGGGAAGACCAAGCUGGUGUCCCUGCUGCGGCAGCUCUACGACGCCGGCCACCGCUGCUUCGGUGAGAACUACGUCCAGGAGUUCGUCACCAAGGCGCCGCAGCUUCCAGAAGAUAUCCGGUGGCAUUUCGUCGGGCACUUGCAGAGCAACAAGGUGAAAUCGCUUGUAGGAUUGUUGUUCUUUGCCAUAACACCACAUCUCACUCCGCGCAUCAUCUCUGGACACUCCUCUUCCGCUGCUGCAACCCAGCUAGCACCAAUGACGCCAUGCAUGGAGCAAGUCAAGGUCUAUAUGGAACGAGCACUCCAUCUCUGGCAGUAAAGAAUUAGACAAGCGGUUGAUUUAUUUAGUGCUGACUUCUGAAGAACUGGUUGGGGUUUUCUUGUUUAAUUUCAACUCGUGUGCAUGUGCAGCAUCACCUACUCAGGUAAUUAACCGGCAUUAUGCAACACAUCAACAUCCUCAAAGUAUCGUAUCUGAACAUUUUGUGUCUUUGUACCAACAAAUCGGUAUAAGAUUGUGCAAGUAACUAUUGUUCAUGUCCAAAAUAAUUUUUCAGUUCGUAGUCAAAGGAUGUUAAAAUUUAGCAGAACCUGUAACCUGUAAUAACAUCCAGGAAUUUGUAGUCCAAGUCGGUUAAUAGGUGAGUCUGAUUUGAUUAGAGCCUGUAUCCACUGGUGGUGGCUGCGUCCAUAUAUAUACACCAGCUGGGUUCAUUCAAUGGAGUAACCUACACUAGCUCAUUCACUACUAGUUAGAUCAAUGGAGUAACCUGUUAUUUCUUUUGCAUUUUUUACAGUAAAAAGUCAUGGCUCACCUAUUAACCGGCGGCCGUAGAAGGACUAAUCACCUAACUGAAACACUAAUAAUCAGAAGAUAGAUUGAACUUCGUUUAACGGAUAUACAACAUAUUGAAUUAUUUUGUAUUAGGUCUAAUUGAUAUAAUCAUGUCUAAUAGAGUUCAUAAUCUUUACUUUGAAGAUCUGUAGCUAGACAUUAGAACUGUUGACAUGCAAAUAAUUAACUAACUGUAUGUCGUACUUGAAUUACAGGUUUUUUGUUUUCGUCACUCCUUUGUUAUAUGGAAGAAGACUUCAUGGAACUCAGGAAGGUGCCGAGGAGAUGCUGGACCAAGGCGUGGAGGCACUGCAAGCUGAAGAGCACAUAUCUGCAGAUGCUGGAGGCCGGGCCGGUGAGCCG